UGCAAGUCGAACGAACUCUGGUAUUGAUUGGUGCUUGCAUCAUGAUUUACAUUUGAGUGAGUGGCGAACUGGUGAGUAACACGUGGGAAACCUGCCCAGAAGCGGGGGAUAACACCUGGAAACAGAUGCUAAUACCGCAUAACAACUUGGACCGCAUGGUCCGAGCUUGAAAGAUGGCUUCGGCUAUCACUUUUGGAUGGUCCCGCGGCGUAUUAGCUAGAUGGUGGGGUAACGGCUCACCAUGGCAAUGAUACGUAGCCGACCUGAGAGGGUAAUCGGCCACAUUGGGACUGAGACACGGCCCAAACUCCUACGGGAGGCAGCAGUAGGGAAUCUUCCACAAUGGACGAAAGUCUGAUGGAGCAACGCCGCGUGAGUGAAGAAGGGUUUCGGCUCGUAAAACUCUGUUGUUAAAGAAGAACAUAUCUGAGAGUAACUGUUCAGGUAUUGACGGUAUUUAACCAGAAAGCCACGGCUAACUACGUGCCAGCAGCCGCGGUAAUACGUAGGUGGCAAGCGUUGUCCGGAUUUAUUGGGCGUAAAGCGAGCGCAGGCGGUUUUUUAAGUCUGAUGUGAAAGCCUUCGGCUCAACCGAAGAAGUGCAUCGGAAACUGGGAAACUUGAGUGCAGAAGAGGACAGUGGAACUCCAUGUGUAGCGGUGAAAUGCGUAGAUAUAUGGAAGAACACCAGUGGCGAAGGCGGCUGUCUGGUCUGUAACUGACGCUGAGGCUCGAAAGUAUGGGUAGCAAACAGGAUUAGAUACCCUGGUAGUCCAUACCGUAAACGAUGAAUGCUAAGUGUUGGAGGGUUUCCGCCCUUCAGUGCUGCAGCUAACGCAUUAAGCAUUCCGCCUGGGGAGUACGGCCGCAAGGCUGAAACUCAAAGGAAUUGACGGGGGCCCGCACAAGCGGUGGAGCAUGUGGUUUAAUUCGAAGCUACGCGAAGAACCUUACCAGGUCUUGACAUACUAUGCAAAUCUAARAGAUUAGACGUUCCCUUCGGGGACAUGGAUACAGGUGGUGCAUGGUUGUCGUCAGCUCGUGUCGUGAGAUGUUGGGUUAAGUCCCGCAACGAGCGCAACCCUUAUUAUCAGUUGCCAGCAUUAAGUUGGGCACUCUGGUGAGACUGCCGGUGACAAACCGGAGGAAGGUGGGGAUGACGUCAAAUCAUCAUGCCCCUUAUGACCUGGGCUACACACGUGCUACAAUGGAUGGUACAACGAGUUGCGAACUCGCGAGAGUAAGCUAAUCUCUUAAAGCCAUUCUCAGUUCGGAUUGUAGGCUGCAACUCGCCUACAUGAAGUCGGAAUCGCUAGUAAUCGCGGAUCAGCAUGCCGCGGUGAAUACGUUCCCGGGCCUUGUACACACCGCCCGUCACACCAUGAGAGUUUGUAACACCCAAAGUCGGUGGGGUAACCUUUUAGGAACCAGCCGCCUAAGGUGGAC
rnacentral:rRNA from 1 species